UGCAGUCGAACGGAUCCAGUUCUUUCGGGGACUGGGUCAGUGGCGCACGGGUGCGUAACGCGUAUGCAACCUACCUUCCACAGGGGGAUAGCCCGGGGAAACCCGGAUUAAUACCGCAUGACACAGUUUGAGGGCAUCCGAAGACUGUCAAAGCCGAGGCGGUGGAAGAUGGGCAUGCGUGCCAUUAGCUAGUUGGCGGGGUAAAGGCCCACCAAGGCGACGAUGGCUAGGGGUUCUGAGAGGAUGGUCCCCCACACUGGUACUGAGACACGGACCAGACUCCUACGGGAGGCAGCAGUAGGGAAUAUUGGGCAAUGGCCGAGAGGCUGACCCAGCCAUGCCGCGUGCAGGAAGAAGGCCUUCUGGGUUGUAAACUGCUUUUACCAGGGAAGAAAACGCGCCUGCGGGCGUAACUGACGGUACCUGGUGAAUAAGCACCGGCUAACUCCGUGCCAGCAGCCGCGGUAAUACGGAGGGUGCAAGCGUUGUCCGGAUUUAUUGGGUUUAAAGGGUGCGUAGGCGGCCCGUUAAGUCAGCGGUGAAAUCCCAGGGCUCAACCCUGGAACUGCCGUUGAUACUGGCGGGCUUGAGUUCGGUCGAGGCGGGCGGAACUGGUGGUGUAGCGGUGAAAUGCAUAGAUACCA
rnacentral:rRNA from 1 species